GGUUCUCUCGUUCUUUGGGUUCUUUAGCGCAGAUCCAACGGCUCUUAUUCAUCUAAAUUCAAAUUCUCCCCAAUUUCAUAUACACACUCUCCUUCUCUCUCUCUCUCUCUCUCUCUCGCUCUCUCUUUGAUUCAGAUUUUUGGGUUCUCUCGUUCUUUGGGUUCUUUAGCGCAGAUCCGCCAUUGAAGGAGUUUUAUGAAGGAACCGAUGGACCGCCUCUCCGUGUUCUUCCCAUUGGUGGCCUUGGUGAAAUUGGAAUGAACUGUAUGCUUGUUGGAAACUAUGAUCGUUACAUUUUAAUCGAUGCUGUAUAAUGUUCCCUGACUACAAUGAGCCUGGUGUCCAGUAAAUAAUGCCAGACACAGGGCUUAUUAGACGGUGGAAACACAAAAUUGAAGCUGUUGUCAUAACACAUGGCCAUGAAGACAGAGAGGGUUUAGGGU